rnacentral:lncRNA from 1 species
GUCCCCAUUGUCCCCAUGUGUCCCCAUUGUCCCCAUCUGUCCCCAUUGUCCCCAUUGUCCCCAUGUGUCCCCAUGUGUCCCCAUUGUCCCCAUGUGUCCCCAUGUGUCCCCAUUGUCCCCAUGUCACCGUGUCCCCCCAUGUCCCCAUAUGUCCACAUAUGUCCACAUGUCCCCAUGUCCCCCCAUAUGUCCCCAUUGUCCCCAUUGUCCCCAUGUCCCCCCAUUGUCCCCAUUGUCCCCAUUGUCCCCAUGUGUCCCAUAUGACCACAUGUCCCCAUAUGUCCCCAUGUCCCUGUAUGUCCCUAUGUGUCCCCACGUCCCCCCAUGUCCCCAUCUGUCCCCAUGUCUCCAUAUGUCCCCAUAUGUCCCCAUUGUCCCCAUGUCCCCAUGUGUCCCCAUUGCCCCCAUGUGUCCCCAUGUCCCCAUAUGUCCCCAAGUGUCCCUAUUGUCCCCAUGUCCCCAUAUCCCCCCGUGUCCCCAUAGGUCCCCAUGUCCUCAUGUCCCCAUAUGUCCCCACAUGUCCCCAUGUCCCACCAUGUCCCCCCAUUGGUCCCCAAGUGUCCCCAUGGCCUCAUGUGUCCCCAUUGUCCCUACAUGUCCCCAUUGUCCCCAUGUCCCCACAUCCCCCCAUGUCCCCAUGUGUCCCCAUGUCCCUGUAUGUCCCCAUGGGUCCCCAUUGUCCCCACAUCCCCAUGUGUUCCCAUUGUCCCCAUAUGACCCCAUGUGUCCCCAUGUGUCCCCAUGUCCCUGUAUGUCCCCAUUGUCCCCAUCUGUCCCCAUGUGUCCCCAUUGUCCCCAUGUCCCUGUAUGUCCCCAUGUCCCCAUUGUCCCCAUAUGUCCCUAUAUCCCCAUAUGUCCCCAUGUGUCCCCAUGUCCCCAUAUGUCCCCAAGUGUCCCCAUCUCUCCCCAUAGGUCCCCAUGUCCCCAUACCCUCAUUCAUCCCUGUGUCCCCAUAUGUCCCCAUAUCCCCCCAUGUCCCCAUGUCCCCAUAUCUCCCCAUAGGUCCCCAUAUGUCCCCAUGUGUCCCCAUGUCCCCACGUCCCCAUACAUCCCUGUGUCCCCAUAAGUCCCCGCGUGUCCCCAUGUCCCCAUAUCCCCCCAUGUCCCCACGUCCCCAUAGGUCCCCACAUCUCCAUGUGUCCCCAUGUCUCCCUAUAUGUCCCCAUAUGUCCCCAUAUCCCCAUACACCCCCAUGUCCCCACAUGUCCCCAUAUGUCCCCACGUCCCCAUGUCUCCCCAUAUGUCCCCAUGUCCCCAUGUCCCCAUAUGUCCCCAUAGGUUCCCAUGUGUCCCCAUAUCCCCCCAUGUCCCCAUAGGUCCCCAUGUCCCCAUAUCCCCAUGUGUCCCC